CCGCGUCUCUCUCCGUCGCGCGCGCUGUCAAUCUGUCCACCACCAGUUCUCUCUCCGUCAGUCUCCCUGGGUCGCGACUCCACCUCUCUCUCUUUCUCUCUCCCCCUCUCCUUAUCUGGGCAUAGUUAGAUGUGCUUAGAUUUGAAAGGAUUUGGAAGAAGUACCCAUGGCUGAUGCUUUUCCUGAGAGCUGAUUCAAUGAAAGGAUUUUUGGAGGUUAUCACUAUGAUAUAAGGGGAAUGCUCAAUCUGUGUGUCGACAUAUGCAAAGGGCACAACGAGAUUGUUUCGUUGCUUCUGGAGAAUGGAGCUGAUGUAAAUUCUAGAAAUUAUUGUGGGCUGGUAUGAUACCUUGGUGCUGUUGUAAUCUAAUUGUGGGUUUGUUUAUUUGAUUUUAAGCAUUUCAGUCUCUGUUUGAGUGAAUUAUGAGAUGUGGGUAGUUAGAAAGAUUGUAACUUUGUGUGGCUUGAUGCAUAAAUUGGGUCCCUGGAAUUGAAAAAUGAAGAUCAUGAUGGGAUAAUUGAGCUCAUUGUUUGAUCAUGAACAAACUUUCCAGAUUUUAUCUUGAAUUUAUUAGCUUUAGUUCUAUAAUACAGUUGCAUAAUUGUAAUGACACACACCAAUAUAAAUUUCAUGACACUGUAGGAGAUGAGGUCAUCUGCAUGUCUUGUGAAUUUCGAGGGAUGAGUAGAACAUGUCUGGUAUUUGGCUAUCUGAAGGCCAAGAUAUAAAGUAAAGCAUAAGUGUGCCAAUUAUCAUUUCAAGUAGGAGGAGAAGAGUUAGAUAGUGGAUUUUGUCAAUAUUAUAGCUUCUUGAGCAUUCUGCACUUCUGUUGUUGGAUAGGCUGCAAAUACAAGAUAUUUCAAGUUCAGGGUAAUUGUUCUAUAGAGAUAGAUCUUGAACUGCCCUCAUGUGAGCAGAGCAAGUUACAAAAGUAUAUAAAAUAUCUUGAAAUGACCCCUACGUACCAGAUGUGAGGAUCACUAUAGCACUACCAACUUUUCAAAUGCAAUCUAAAAGAUAUUCUUAGAUUAUCUAAAAUCAUUUGUCUACCAACUUUUAGAUGGGCUGCAAUUAUAUGUUAUUGAAUAAUUAACUUGGCACCAACCUUUCACCGAAGGCUUAAUUCUACUUUAGUUCUUCAACCUGGAUCAAAUCUAUUACGGUUAGAAUCAUUAUUUCUUAUCUUUUCAAAUAAUUCAUUUGAACCUUAAUUCUUACUGGACUCAAGGCUUUUGUGUGGACUCAUUCAGUCUCAUUUUUAGAACUAACGUAGCCUGGACUCAUUUUUAGAAUUAAGGUUGCUACAACAUCUAUAAUUUCCUGACAACAGAAUACGAAAUCAGAGUUUGUUAUGCAUUUCAGUUUGUCUUCUGGUCUUCCCCAAUAUGAAACAUGUUGCACUUGGUUGUGGGAAUGAGAUAAGCAACCAGACAUCUUGCUGUACGACAAUGGACAGCUAUGUUUCCCACUUGCAAAAGCAGAGUUUCAUAACCAACUUGCAAGCUUUGGAUUGUGCUGCAUCACUGGGAAUGAAGUUAAGAAAAUAAAUCAAAUAUUACCAAAGAUGUGUAUAGCCUAUGUCAUUUAAGCCUCAAGGAUUUCUCCCUUCAGUUCUGGACGUGGACGAGUUGCCUGAAAGAGAAUGCUGAGAAGAAGAGAUUCUGGAAGUUUCUGCACAAGGAGCCAUCUGUCCAUAAUUGUUUCUUGGGGAAGGAGAUGUUCCUUGUUGACAACCAUUGGAGCAAACACUGGAACCAUAUUGAUGCAGUUAGAACAGAGUGGGCAAAAUUUGUUGUUAAAACAUAUAUGUAAGUAGUAUCGCAUCUAGCUGGUUAGUACUUGGGUUUAGGGACUUAUUUUGAUAAC